UUUUUUUUUUUUUUUUUUUUUUUUUUGUCUUUUCAUCUCUUUAGGGCCACACUUACAGCAUAUGGAAGUUCCCAGGCUAGAGGUCGAAUUGGAGCUGUAGCCACCAACCUACGCCACAGACAAAGCAACACACGAUCUGAGCUGUAUCUGUGACCUGCAUCAUAGCUAUUGGCAAUGCUGGAUCCUUAACCCACUGAGCGAGGACAGGGAUCAAACCCACGUCCUCGUGGAUGCUAGUCAAGUUUGUUAACCACUGAGCCAUGACGGGAACUCCCGUCUUUUGUCUCUUUAGGUAGGUUUAUUCCUAAGUAUUUUGUACUUUUUGAUGCAAUGGUAAAUGGGAUUAUUUGCCUAAUUUCUCUUUCUGAUUUUUGUUGUUCGUAUAUAGAAAUGCGAUUGACUUCUGUGUAUUAGUUUUGUAUCCCGUGACUUUGCCAAAUUCAUUGAUGAGCUCUAAGUUUUCUGGUAACAUCUUUAGGAUCUUCUAGGUCAUCUGCAAACAGUGAUAGUUUUACUUCUUCCUUUCCAAUUUGGAUUCUUUUUAUUUCUUUUACUUCUCUGAUUCCAUAGCUAGGACUUCUGAAACUGUAUGAAUAGAAGUUGUGAGAACAGAUGUCCUUGUCUUGUUCCUGAUCUGAGAGGGAAUUCUUUCAGCUUUUCAUAUUUUACCAUGUUGAGGUAGUUUCCCUCUAUGCCCACUUCCGGGUUGGUUUUUAUCAGAAAUGGGUGUUGGAUUUUGUCAAAAGCUUUUUCUGCAUCUAUUGAGAGGAUCCUAUGGUUUUUAUUCUUCAGUUUAUUAAUGUGUAUCACACUGAUUGAUUUGCAGACAUUGAAGCAUCCUUCAUCCCUGGGAUAGAUCCACUUGAUCAUAAUAUACUAUGCAGUUUGCUAGUAUUUUGUUGAGGAUUUUUGGGUUUAUGUUCAUCAGUGAUAUUGCCCCGUAAUUUGCUUUUCUAGAAUCUUUAGUUUUGGUAUUGGGGUGAUGGUGGCCUCAUAGAAUGAGUUUGGGAAUGUGAUAUUGCCUCGUAAUUUGCUUUUUUUUUCUAGAAUCUUUAGUUUUGGUAUUGGGGUGAUGGUGGCCUCAUAGAAUGAGUUUGGGAAUGUGAUAUUGCCCCGUAAUUUGCUUUUUUUUUUCUAGAAUCUUUAGUUUUGGUAUUGGGGUGAUGGUGGCCUCAUAGAAUGAGUUUGGGAAUGUGAUAUUGCCCUGUAAUUUGCUUUUUUUUUCUAGAAUCUUUAUUUUGGUAUUGGGGGGAUGGUGGCCUCAUAGAAUGAGUUUGGGAAUGUUACUUCCUCUGCAAUUUUUAAAAAUAGUUUCAGAAGGAUAGGUGUUAGCUCUUCUCUAAAUGUUUGAUAGAAUUCACCUAUGAAGCCAUCUGGUCCUGCACUUCUGUUUGUUGGAAGUUUUUUAAUCAUAGUUUCAAUUUAAGUACUUGUGAUAAGUUUGUUCUUUUCUUUUAUCUUGGUUUAAUCUUAGAAGAUGGUACUUUUCUAGGAAUUUGUCCAUUUCUUCUAGGUUGUCCAUUUUAUUGGCAUAAAAUUACUUAUAGUCUCUGAUCCUUUGUAUUUCUGUGAUGUCCAUUGUAACUUCCUUUUUCAUUUCUAAUUUUAUUGAGUUCUCUUUUUUUUUCUUGAUGAGUCUAGCUAAAGGUUUAUCAAUUCUCUUGAUCUUUUCAAAGAACCGUCUUUUAGUUUCAUUGAUCUUUUCUAUGAUUUUCUUCAUUUCUAUUUCAUUUAUUUCUGCUCUAAUCUUUAUGAUUUCUUUCCUUCUGCUAACUUUGGGCCUUGUCUGUUCUUCUCUCUCUGGUUGCUUUACAUGUAAAGUUAGGGUGUUUAUUUGAGCUUUUUCGUUUGUUUGUUUCCUGAGGUAGGUUUGUGUUGCUAUAAAUUUCCCUCUUAGAACUGCUUUUGCUGCAUCCCAUAGGUUUUGGAGUGUUGUGUCUUUGUUGUCAUUUGCUUCUAGGCAUUUUUAAAUUUCCUCUUUGAUUUUUUCAGUGAUCCAUUGGUUGUUUAGUAGCGUGUUGUUUAGUCUCCACGUGUUUGUGUGUUUUGCAGUUUUUUUCAUGUUGAUUUUCAGUCCUAUAGUGUUGUGGUCAGAAAAGGUGCUUGAUAUGAUUUCAAUUUUCUUAAAUUCACCAAGAAUUUAUUUGUGGCCCAGAAUGUGAUCAAUCCUAGAAGAAUGUUCCUUGUGCACUUGAGAAGAAUGUGUAUUUUGCUCCUUUUGGAUGGAAUGUUCUAUAAAUAUAUAUUAAGUCAUCUUGUCCAAUCCAUCAUUUAAGGCCUGUGUUUCCUGGUUGAUUUUCUGUCUGGAUGAUCUGUCCAUUGCUGUAAGUGGGGUGUUAACAUCCCCUGCUGUUAUUGUGUUCAUGUGAUUUUUGUCCUUUUAAGGUUUUAGCAGUUACCUUAUAUAUUGAGGUGAUCCUAUGUUGGUUGCAUAUAUAUUUACAAUUGCUAUAGCUUCCUUUUGGGUUGAUCCUGUAAUCGUUAUGUAAUGUCUAUCUUUACCUCAUAUUCUUUCAUUUUUUAAAAUUUUUUUAUUUUUUUGUGCACCCACAGCAUGUGGUAGUUCCCAGACUGGGGUCAAAUCAGAGCUACAGCUAUUGGCCUAUGCCAUGGUCACAGCAACGCAGGAUCUGAGCCAUGUCUUCAACCUCCAGCUCAUGGUAGGGUCGGAUCUCUGACCCAAUGAGUAUGGCCAAGGAUUGAACCCACAUCCUCAUAUAUACUUGUGGGAUUCAUUUACGCUGCCACCAUAAUGGGAAUUCCAUAGUAUUCUUUAUUUUAAGGUCUACUUUGUCUGAUAUGAGUAUUGCUACUCCAGCUUUCUUUUGAUUUCUGUUUGCAUGGAAUAUUUUCUUCCAUCCUCUCACUUUCAAUUUGUAUGUUUCCCUAGAACUGAAAUGUGUCUCUUGAAAACAGCGUAUAUAUGGGUCUUGUUUUUGUAUCCAUUCAGCCAAUGUAUGUCUUUUGGUUGGGGCAUUUAGUCCAUUUACAUUUAAGCUCAUUAUUGACAUGUAUGUUCUUACUGCCAGUUUAUGAACUGUUUUGGACUUGUUUUUGUUGGGUCUUUUUUCUUCCCUUUUUUGUUCUCUUGUGAUUUGAUGACUAUCUUUAGUAUUGUAUUUGGAUUGCUUUUUCUUAUUUGUGUGUGUAUCUAUUGUAGAUUUUUGGUUUGCAGUUACCCUGAAGUUUAGAUAUAGGAGUCUACAGAUAUACAAGAUUGUUUUAAAUUGUUGGUCUCUUAAUUGCAAGUGCAUGUCUGGUGUCCUUCAUUUGUACCCUCCUCUUCUCACGAUUUCUAUUUUUGGUAGUAUAUAUGUGUGUGGAUGAUUUCCUACCUUUAUUUAUAUGUAUGCCUUUACUGGUGAGCCUUUUCAUUUAUAGUAUUUUUGUUUCUAGUUGUGGCCUUUUCUUACCCACCUAGAAAAGUUUCUUUAGUAUUUGUUGCAAAGCUGGUUUAGUGAUGCUGAAUUCUCUUGGCUUUUGCUUGUCUGCAAAGCUUUUGGUUUCUCCUUCAAAUCUGAAUGAAAGCUUGCUGGGUAGAGCAAUCUUGGUUGGAGGUUUUUUCCUUUCAUCACUUUAAUUAUAUUAUGCCACUCCCUUCUGGCCUGCAGAGUUUCUGUUGAAAAAUCUGCCUUUAACCUUGUCUGGGUUCCCUUGUAUGUUAUUUGUUUCUUUUCCCUAGCUGCUUUCAAUAUUUUUCUCUGUCUUCAGUUUUGGUCAGUUUGAUUAAUAUGUGUCUUGGGGUGUUCCUUCAUGAGUUUGUUUGAUAUGGUACUCAUUGUGCUUCCUGGACUUGGGUGAGUGAUUCCUUUCCCAUGUUAGGAAAUUUUUCAACUAUUAUCUCUUUAGAUAUUUUUUCUGGCCCUUUCUCUUCUUCUGGCACCCUGGUAUGACGGUUGUUCAUGCAUUUAACAUUGUCCCAGAAUUUUCUUAGACUGUCUUCAUUUCUUUUCAAUUUUUUUUCUCUUUUCGGUUCUGCAUCAGUCAUUCCCACUAGUCUGUCCUCUACCUCGCACAUUCAUUCUUCUGCCUCCUGUAUUCUGCUGUUGGCUGCUUCUAAUAAAUUUUGUAUUUCAGUUAUUGUAUUUUGCAUCUCUGCUGCUUAAUCUUUAAAUCUCAUAUUUCUUUGCUCAGUGUUUCUAGUAAUUUAUCACUCUUUGCCUCCAGUUUAUUUCCAAGUUCUUUAAUCAUCUUUCCUACCAUCAAUGUAAAGUCUUUUUCAUGGAGGUGUGUAAUCUCCAGAUCACUUGGCUGUUUUUCUGGGGGGCUUUCUUGCUCCCUUAUCUGAUUCAUAAUUAUUUGUCUUUUCAUUUUGUAUAGAUUUUUGCAGACUAAUAGAGUUUUAGCCUCUCUUGCUUCUGUUGUCUGCCCUCAUUGUGGCUGAAGUUGUUACAGGGGUUUGAUGUAGGCUUCCUGAUGGGUGAGACUGGUGCCUGCCUACUGUAGGUGGAGCUUAUUCUAUCCAGUGUGUGAGGCUUUGUCUCUGGGUGAGAUUAGAGGCAGCUGUGUGCUUGGGGGCGGGGGGGCUUUAGGCAGCCUGUUUGCUGAUGGGUGGGGCAGUGAUCCCACUCAGAUUAUUGUUUGGUCUGGAGCUUCUCAGCCCUGAUGGGUGGGGCCAGAUUUUUCUAAUAUGGCCACCUCUAGAGGAGCACAGGCUGAUGAUUAUUCCUGAGAAUUUUGCCUCCAAUGUCCUUCCCGCACAGCGACCCAUAGUCACCCCCUGUUUUCACAGGAGAUCCUCUAAGAACUGCAGUCAGGUCUGACCCAGAUUCCUGUGGAGUCUGCUUUGCCCUGGGACCCAGUGUAUAUGUAGGCGUGUGUGUGCAUUUCAAGAAUGGAAUCUCCAGAGUUCCCUUUGUGGCUCAGGGGCAAUGAAUCUGACAACGAUCCAUGUGGAUGUGUGUUUGACCUCUGGCCUUGUUCAGUGUGUUGAGAAUAUGGUGUUGCUGUGAGCUAUGGUAUAGGUCACAGAUGCAGUUUGGCUCAUGCAUUACUGUAGCUGUGGUGUAGACUGACAGCUGCGAUUGCAAUUCAGCCCCAGGCCUGGAAACUUCCCUAUGCCUUGGGUGCAACCCCCUCAAAAAAAAUAAAAGAAUGGAAUCUCCAUUUCCCCUCAGUCCCAUGGAACUCCUGCACAUAAGCCCUGCUGUCCCUCAAUGCCAAAUGCUCUGGGGGCUCCUUCUCCCAAUGCCAGAUCCCCAGGUGUGGGAACUUGAUGUGGGGCUCAGAACUCUUACUCCUGUAGGUGAGUCUCUGGAUACAGUUACUUUCCAGUCUGUGGGCUACUCACCCAGCAAGUAUGCAGUUGCUUAUAUUGCACAAUCACCCCUCCUACCAUCUUGAUAUGGCCUCCUCUUUGUCUUCUAGAGUAGGAUUUUUUUUUUUUUUUUUGUCUUUUUAGGGCUGCACUCAUGGCAUGUGGGGGUUCCCAGGCAAAGGGUCUAAUCGGAGCUACAGCUGCCAGCCUACGCCACAGCCACAGGAACGCCACUUCCGAGCCACAUCUGUGAACUACAGCAAUGCCAGAUCACAGCAAUGCCGGAUCCUUAACCCACUGAGCAAGGUCAGGGAUUGAAUCUACAUGCUCGUGGAUGCUAGUCAGAUUCAUUUCCGCUAAGCCACAAUGGGAACUCUAAAUGUCUUUUUUUGAUAGUUUGUAGUCUAUUAGGUUGAAGGUUGUUCAGAAGUUGGUUGUAAUUUUGUUGCUUUUAUGAGAGAAGGUGAGUUCUAGUCCUUCUACUCUGCCAUUAAUCCUGUCUGCAAGAACAGUUUUAGUAAUAAAUAGUAUUUAAUUUUUAGGCAGUCCAGUUUUUAAUUAAUUUAAUUGGAUUUGCUUUAAUUUGCACUAUGCGAAGCAGUUUUCUUUUAUACCACAUUACGGAAUGAACAUAUUUUAUGGGGCGCCAUGAAAUAUAAUUAGGUAGAAAAUGUUGAACUAGAUACCCGAGGCUUGAUAAGGUAGUACGCAAAUCACAAAAAAAAAACUUUUAAUGCCUAUUAUUGUUUCGGCUUCAUCCCUACAUGAUUGCCAUUCCAAACGCCAGCAUACAAUACAGAUUUUACCUUUCUUCAUUCUUCCUUCUGUGCAUGUUUUUGGCAAUAAUACUUUAGAAAAAACAAAAUUAUUUUCUUAGACUUAAAAAAUACUUAUUACUUAGUCUGUGUUUGUGGAAGGCCAAGUAUUCACAUGGACUAUAGAGAUAAAAUUUGGAUAGAGAAAUUAACUUUAUUAAUGACACUUCUUCCUGGUACUGUGUUAACGGCAUGCCAUUUAAUCUUCGAAAUGACCAGAUGAAGAAGGUAUAAUUAUUAUUCUGGAUGUAUAGAUGAGAUAACUGAGUAAGUGUUUCAAACUUGUGGCAGAAUCUUCAGAGUAUUCAGACACCUCUCCGUACUGCACUGGCCACAGAAGCUUCAAUUUUCCCAGCAAUCAUCACAGUGGUAGUCCCUAUCUUUUGCCAACCAUCAGGAAGCUUUCCUAGAAACCCAUUGCAGCUCAACAGGUUAAUCUAGCAUAGCAUCUGUGAGGAUGCAAGUUUUAUCCCUGGCCUAGCUCAUUGGGUUAAGGAUCUGGGGUGCUGCAAGCUGUAUAGGUCACAGGUAAGGCUCAGCUCUGCCAUGGCUGGGGCUGUGGCAUAGGCCCACCGCUGCAACUCUGACCCUAGCCCGGGAACUUCCACAUGCUGCAGGUUUGGCUGUAAAAAGAAAAAAUAAAAACAGGCAAAGUCCAAAACAAGAGACUAGCAGACCACAGCCAUUCUAUAAGGAUAUUAAUUUAUUCCAUCUACUAAUUUUAUUAAGCAUGUACUACGCCUGAGGCACUGUGGAAAUACUAUACAGCAAUGGUUCAAACAUGGUCUAGAUGUUUAGGUACUUAACCACCUUCCCCUCCACAAAAAAGCAUUAUUUUCUUACAUCAUAAAUCUCUUCUAUAGCAUCACAUAAGUAAUUCAUCUCUACAAUUUUUAUUCUUUAAACUUGAACUAUCCCAGUUUCAUUCUAUACCAGCCAACGUACCUAAUAUAUGGUAUGUUAAGGUAUGUUAUCUAAAAUUGUUAGAUAAUCGCCUAACAACCCAGUUAGUAAAAAGAGGAGUCUGAUCAUCAUUACCUGCAUUUAACUGACAAACUACUUCAGAUAAUAGGUCAUAUAAGUAAUCCAGGAUGGAAAAUAUUCAAGUGAUGUUUUAAUAAUUUUAUGGCUGUAUUAUUUUCUUCUGAAAAUUGGCCUUAUUGGAGAAGCAGUGCCAGAGGGAGGGAAAAAAAUGCCUGCCAAAGUAGAGAUUCUGACUUAGAGCACAUAAUAGAAGACUAGAUGGAAAUAGUCUGGCAGGAUAGUACAGAAAAGCUUAGGAAUUACCAGAUUAUUCAGAGCAGGAGUUUGUCAUGGGUAGAAAUUUAAAGGCUAAUAUCUCAAAGAAGAAAGUGUUCUAAAUAAAUGAGAUACAUGAUGAAGAUGCCUGUUUGAAAGUUGGAAGGUUUCUAGGAAUAACCUAGACCAGGAAAUUUAUGUUGGAAUAGAGAUUGACAGGUAAGUCUAAUCAUAAUUCAUAUAGGCUUAAACUGAAGGACAGCUCAGAUUCUGUUUUAGGGGAAGAAAAGAACAAAUUGUGUUUGUGCUCUGAAAGAAUUAAAACCUAUCCUAGAAUUUCCCUUCUCUUCACCUUCACUUAUUCUGAAAAAUUUCCUUUGUUAAUUGCUGAAUCAUGAUCAAAAUGUUCCCCUACUUCUUACCAUUAAAAUUUCUUGAAAAUCACUAAAUAAUAAAUCAGCUGAGCUCUAAAUAUUACUAGUUGGGAAGUAAUCUGCCUUGAGUCAGUUU
rnacentral:lncRNA from 1 species